rnacentral:rRNA from 1 species
GAUGAACGCUGGCGGCGUGCUUAACACAUGCAAGUCGAACGGAAAGGCCCAAGCUUGCUUGGGUACUCGAGUGGCGAACGGGUGAGUAACACGUGGGUGAUCUGCCCUGCACUUCGGGAUAAGCCUGGGAAACUGGGUCUAAUACCGGAUAGGACCACAUUUUGGAUGGGGUGGUGGAAAGUUUUUCGGUGUGGGAUGAGCUCGCGGCCUAUCAGCUUGUUGGUGGGGUAAUGGCCUACCAAGGCGUCGACGGGUAGCCGGCCGGAGAGGGUGUACGGCCACAUUGGGACUGAGAUACGGCCCAGACUCCUACGGGAGGCAGCAGUGGGGAAUAUUGCACAAUGGGCGCAAGCCUGAUGCAGCGACGCCGCGUGGGGGAUGACGGCCUUCGGGUUGUAAACCGCUUUCGCUAGGGACGAAGCGUUUUUGUGCCGGUACUGGGAGAGGAGGCCCCGGCAACUUCCGG